rnacentral:tRNA from 2 species
GGGGAUGUAGCUCAGCUGGUUAGAGCGCUUGACUGGCAGUCAAGAGGUCGUGGGUUCGACUCCCAUCUUCUCCA